AAACGCGUAGCCCGUCCCUCAUCCAUCCUCUCUGCCGGAGGGAUAAGCGGACGUCGUGAAAGGCAGGGCGACAGGAUGCGGUGCCCGUCCGGUUCCUGUCCGAUUCGUGCGGGAUCGCCAGUGGUCAGUUCGUUCUGCUGCAAUCCUCUGGUUAAACUGAAUGCGGAACUAAGCAUGGUGACGUUCUCAUAGCCUCCUGUCCGGACGCGGGUUCGAUUCCCGCCGUCUCCACUA
rnacentral:tmRNA from 1 species